rnacentral:sRNA from 1 species
UUCCGGUAGGUCGCCCGCUGAGGCGGUUUGUAAGUUUUGGGUCGCAGUAUGCUAGAAUUUUGAGGCUCCCUUCCGAUGAAAAUUGAGCUGUCCAUGCAGCCAUGGAACCCAGGUUACAGCAGUGAGGGGGCCACGGCUCAAGAAACUUACACAUGUCCAAAAAUGAUUGAGAUAGAGCAGGCGGAGGCCCAGCUUUCCGAGUUAGACCUGCUAGCCAGUAUGUUCCCUGGUGAGAAUGAGCUCAUAGUGAAUGACCAGCUGGCUGUAGCAGAACUGAAAGAUUGUAUUGAAAAGAAGACAAUGGAGGGGCGAUCUUCAAAAGUCUACUUUACUAUCAAUAUGAACCUGGAUGUAUCUGAGGAAAAAAUGAUCAGCAUUAUUGAGUAGAUCCCAGCAGACUCAGCUGAACACAGAUCUGACUGCAUUCCUGCAAAAACAUUGUCAUGGAGAUGUUUGUAUACUGAAUGCCACAGAGUGGGUUAGAGAACACGCCUCUGGCUAUGUCAGCAGAGAUACUUCAUCUUCACCCACUACAGGAAACACAGUCCAGUCAGUUGACCUCAUCUUCACAAGACUCUGGAUCUACAGCCAUCAUAUCUAUAACAAAUGCAAAAGAAAGAAUAUUCUAGAGUGGGCAAAGGAGCUUUCCCUGUCUGGGUUUAGCAUGCCUGGAAAACCUGGUGUUGUUUGUGUGGAAGGCCCACAAAGUGCCUGUGAAGAAUUCUGGUCAAGACUCAGAAAAUUAAACUGGAAGAGAAUUUUAAUUCGCCAUCAAGAAGACAUUCCUUUUGAUGGUACAAAUGAUGAAAUGGAAAGACAAAGGAAAUUUUCCAUUUUUGAAGAAAAAGUGUUCAUUGUUAAUGGAGCCAGGGGAAACCACAUGGACUUUGGUCAGCUCUAUCAGUUCUUAAAUACCAAAGGAUGUGGGGAUGUUUUCCAGAUGUUCUUUGGUGUAGAAGGACAAUGACAGCAAGAGUAGUUGAAAGUAUCUUGCCACUGUUGGCCUUUUGAUUUUUUUUCCCACUUUUUCUUGAAAGAUUAAGUAAUUUUAUUUUAGUUCCAUUCUGGAAUGUUGGGGAGUGGGGGACAAGAAAAAAUAGUAUAGCUGAAAGGCAUCUGUUAAAAAUGUCAUGAUUGAAAGCAGAACUGAGUUUCAAAUUACAACCUUAAAAUUGUUGUUAGAUAUUUCUUCACAUAUUGGCUGCCCAUUUUGAAAAAGAAAUUAUCCACAAAGGUAAUGUUGGUGCUCCAAUUUGCCAGCCAUUCCCAACCCCCUUCUCCCUUACCUGCCUUCACUAAAGAACCCAGAAAAGCUAAUUGCUCCCCUUUCAGCCUCUGUUGCAACUAACAACUCUCAGUGGCCUCAGGACACAGCUUUGGCCUUGGGAAUUCUGGGAAAACUUUUACUUCCUGAUUAAAGAUACAUAUGAAGCUAGGCCACCUCCUCCUCCUCUUACUGCCAUAAACACCUAAGUGAUGACUGGAGCUGGAGGAGUUAUUUGAACGAUGACAGAAGGAAGGGCCAAGAGAACCACGAAGAUGCCAGUUGCCAUAUUGUUGAGCUGCUGACCCAACACCAGCCGUUGCCUAUCUCUAAACGUCUUAUGAAAUAAAACCAGUUUUGUUUAA